rnacentral:rRNA from 1 species
CCUACGGGAGGCAGCAGUAGGGAAUCUUCCACAAUGGACGAAAGUCUGAUGGAGCAACGCCGCGUGAGUGAAGAAGGGUUUCGGCUCGUAAAGCUCUGUUGGUAGGGAAGUAAGAUAGAGGUAGUAACUGGCCUUUAUUUGACGGUAUUUACUUAGAACGUCACGGCUAACUACGUGCCAGCAGCCGCGGUAAUACGUAGGUGGCAAGCGUUGUCCGGAUGUAUUGGGCGUAAAGCGAGUGCAGGCGGUUUAAUAAGUCUGAUGUGAAAGCCUUCGGCUCAACCGGAGAAUUGCAUCAGAAACUGUUGAACUUGAGUGCAGAAGAGGAGAGUGGAACGCGAUGUGUAGCGGUGGAAUGCGUAGAUAUAUGGAAGAACCCCAGUGGCGAAGGCGGCUCUCUGGGCUGCAACUGACGCUGAGGCUCGAAAGCAUGGGGAGCGAACAGGAUUAGAUACCCUUGUAGUC